GGCUCAGGAGCAACAAACACGUGGCUAGAAUGUCCCAUAACUUCAUUUUAGACUCAGUUCCUUUGAGGGAAGCUGCAACAGUGCAAAGCUUUACAAAACUUCUCCUGCGCAUGCAUCCAUGGAAUUGAGUCUGAGACGCACGGCAACAGUUGCUAAGGUUGCACUAAUUGGAGGAGGAAGUGCCGGGGAUGUUUAGCGCUGACGGGGCUUGAGGACCAGGACUUGAUCCGAGCCUGAAUUUGGAUCCUGUUGCGGCCUCCUAUUCCUCCAGUUAAUCCGGCAGCGGCUGCAGGGAAGUAAGCGUUCAUUUGACCGCAGAAAAACGAGUUGGCAGCACCUGCAAAAGGAGGAUCAAAGGGCCCAGAGUUAAGCCACCCACUGGAUCCGUGUCACACUAUAUCCUCGGGAUACUGUGUCCAUCUCAGUGGCCACAGCAGCUGGUCAGAUGGACACCAGUGGAUCAUGUUUGGCUGUGAGAUCCUCUCGGAAAUCAAGGCUUCUCAAGGUCAUCUAAGCGUCCUUAAAUCAAGAUACAUUUGCUGGAAGAGAAAGAUAUUCAGGUGCUGGAUUGGUGUCACCGUGUCCCGGAGCUGAAUAUCGUGUUGACGGACAUCUCUAGAAACCCUCAAUCAUUUUUUACACAUCACUUUAACGACUGAAGGCACGGCCUUUCACAGAAGCCCCGGCGGAGAAUGGAGAGAAAGAGAAGGAGGUUUUCAAAAGAGAAACGGGAUCCCUCGCUUCACAAAAGAGGCUUGGCUUUAAGGGAUCAUCAUUCCUGGAGAAAGAGAUGAGCUUCGGCGUCGCAGCCCGAGGACAAACGCUCAGACACACACCACAAGAAAGUGUGUAUGGGCCGGAUCGGGACACAUGUCCCAGAUGGGACGCCCCGCUUUGGUGUGGUCUCGGAUUACAGAACGGUAUUGUACUGUACGUGGGCGAGAAGAUGAAAGACGGAGGAGCGGCGGGUUCGAGCGCUUCACUGAUGGAUGAGAGCAAGAUAAAGCUGAUCAAAUGAUCCUCACACACUUUUAUACCGCGAGUUAUCAGUGUGUGUGUGUGUGUGUGUGUGUGUGUGUGUGUGUGGCCGGUUUGAUGUGGUGGAGAUUAUUGUAGCAAAAAUAGUGAAAUAUUAUUAGAAUUUGUUCUCUAUGUUAAAGUGUAAUUUAUUGCUGAAUGUUCAGCAUCAUUAC